AAGUCAUAACAAGGUUUCCGUAGGUGAACCUGCGGAAGGAUCAUUAUUGAAUUCGGCCUUUUGGCCUUAUACACAUAAUAUACACUGUGAACCGUGGCUUCGGCCCAAACUUGAAGUCUUGAAUGUAAUAUAUCAUAACAAAAUACAACUUUUAACAACGGAUCUCUUGGCUCUC
rnacentral:misc_RNA from 2 species